rnacentral:tRNA from 1 species
GGGUGAUUAGCUCAGUUGGUAGCAGCAUCUGGCUCUUAACCAGAGGGUCCACGGUUCGAGCCCGUGAUCACCCACCA